rnacentral:lncRNA from 1 species
CUCAUUUCAAAAUGGGAAUUACAUACCUCUCAACAACUCGGUUUUUGUGCCACUGGCACACACCGGAGCUGCUGGGAAUCUGUGUGGACCGCUGCCAACGAGACCCGGACUGUGGGACUGGACAGCAGUGUAUCAUGGUGGGAUGUCGUCGAACCUGCGCUCCAGCCCUGGGACCAGGUGUCUGUGUGGAAGAAUGCCAAAGUCACCGAGACUGUGCUGUAGGACGUCUAUGUGUCAGCAAUGGAUGUGGCCGUGUCUGCCGGCCAGCCCAAGACCAAGGAUGCUGCGGCUGUUGGCCAUUGGUCCCACUCCCUCUACAGAGCCAGCCCAGUUCUGAAAAGACUGUUUUUCAGAUGGAUCAAGACCCAGAACUUGUCCAAGGUUGCCUCCAGGAACUAAUGGACUUUGUGAUGAAAUGUGUAGAGGAGAUGAAGCUUGUCCCAGGGGACAGAAAUGCUGCAGCCAUGGUGGUGGUGGCCACACCUGCCAAAUCGCUAUUCAAGACAUCAGUAUAAGAUAGAGAGCUGUUUACCGGAAGCAUGGGUCUCUGCUGAUCUUUACAGCACAGAAGGGAACCCAUCCGCCCCUCUGCUCACUGAAGUCUGGGUGGCAUGUGGAGAAAGCUGGUUGGUAGCAAAGAGCAGGAAUUUCUGGAAAGUGUCGUGAAUAUCUUGGUGUUGUAGGAGGAAGAUUUCCUUAUCCGUUUGGAUGAUUAAUCAACCUUAGCCUCCUUCAGUGACCAUUCCCAAAUGUCACCUUUAUGCCGGUACCUGGUGUUGGGCUUUCUACUAUCUUUUCCUGGCUACUUUCUAUUCCUGGAACCCCAGUACCAUAUGAUUAGGAUCUGUAAUAACUUUGGCAUCAGUGUUCAGUUCUGGCAAUUACUACAGAAAUCAUGGGGUGAAUGCUUCCAAAAUAAUCCUUCUUCUGAAUAAAAUUAUUUCUGUGGCA